UACCCUGGACAUGGUCGGAAUCCUGAAGAGAUUCGGGAGUGCUCGAAAGAGAACCGGCGCACAGGUGCUGCAUGGCUGUCGUCAGCUCGUGUCGUGAGAUGUUGGGUUAAGUCCCGCAACGAGCGCAACCCUUGUCCUUAGUUGCUACGCAAGAGCACUCUAAGGAGACUGCCGGUGACAAACCGGAGGAAGGUGGGGAUGACGUCAAGUCCUCAUGGCCCUUAUGGGUAGGGCUUCACACGUCAUACAAUGGUCGGAACAGAGGGUUGCCAACCCGCGAGGGGGAGCUAAUCCCAGAAAACCGUCUUAGUCCGGAUUGCACUCUGCAACUCGAGUGCAUGAAGCUGGAAUCGCUAGUAAUCGCGGAUCAGCAUGCC
rnacentral:rRNA from 1 species